rnacentral:rRNA from 1 species
AUGUAUGUUCUAGGCGGCGGACGGGUGAGUAACGCGUGAACAACCUCGUCCUUACGAGGGGAUAACACAGCGAAAGUUGUACUAAUACCGCAUGAGACCACGGGGAGACAUCUUUCAGGGGUCAAAAGGAGCAAUCCGGUAAGGGGUGGGCUCGCGUCCGAUUAGAUAGUUGGUGAGGUAACGGCCCACCAAGUCGACGAUCGGUAGCCGACCUGAGAGGGUGAUCGGCCACAUUGGGACUGAGACACGGCCCAAACUCCUACGGGAGGCAGCAGUGGGAAUAUUGGGCAAUGGGGGGAAACCCCCUGACCCAGCAACGCCGCGUGAGGGAAGAAGGUUUUCGGAUCGUAAACCUCUGUCCUUGGUGAAGAGUAAGAGACGGUAGCCAAGGAGGAAGCCCCGGCUAACUACGUGCCAGCCGCUGC